ACAAACAAAUAUUAAACAUGCUGUUCUCUUCAUGGACACCCAAUGAGUGCAACUGCAAAAACAAAUCCAGAUUUUUCAAAAGUUGAAUGUUAAUAAAUUGUAGAUUCGAAUUAAUUGAUUAAAAAAGGGGAAAAAUGUGGAUUUUUGUCUUGUUCUUGGACAGAGGUUAAUUUUGUAUAGCAGAUGUGCAUCUGCCUCCUUACAUUUCUCACUUUUUCCUACGUUGCUGUUUGAUAAUGUCAUAAUUUCUCCUGUCAGGAGGCACAGGAGCAGAUUAUCCUGAAUGUGAGACUGGUUUCUUAUGUUUCCCAGGAAAGGACAACGAUCUGCUAUGUGUGCCUUGUGCAGAAGCAGGGAUUUCCUUUUUUUAUUUUAAUUUUUAAUUUUUUUUUUAUUAUAUAUAUAAAAAAAGAAGAAGCAGGGAUUUUCUGCUGGUCUGCUGUGGUCUUUGGUCUCUUUUGGGAAGCAGCUAAGCAUUCAUAGCUGCAGCAAUGACAGCGUGCCAAUAGACGCACCAUAUCCUGGACAUAAAGCUGAAUUUUCAAGGCUUGUUGGAGAUGGAGAGGAUGCAGGUGUGGGGUGAGUAUUUACAGGGAUUGAGGAUGAGGAAGAUGUUUUUUUUUUUUUGUUUUUUUGUUUGUUCCAGAAGAAAUGAGAAGAUGACGGUGGAGAAGGUGAACGUUUGGAGGACGGACUGGCAGAUUGCAUGAUGGGAUAGCAAUGGAGUUAUGCAGAGGAGCGUCAACACGGAUCUGGCUUUUAAUGCGAGGUAAGGUUUACAGGAAGAAAUGUGGAUCAUGGAUUAAAUUUACUUUUGUGGGUUUUUGUCCAUCAACAGAGCACAAAAUCCCUCAUGAGUCUUUUUUUUUCUUCACAUUUUCCAUACGGCAUUUAAUACUGGAAUGUUUCCUUUGCCUGCUAUUUCUUUUUGUUGUUGUGUUUUUUCCAAAAAUUAAAGCAAAUUAUGUAUUUAAUGUAGCUAAUUUACCCAAUCCACCCUCCAGUUUAACACAGAGAUAAGAGCAGGCAUUUGCCAAGGCCAACAAAUUAAAAGUGAUGUCUGGAUGCUUGAAAUAUAAAAUAAACAGCCGGUGUCUGGCUAUUUUAACCUAACCGUCUGGAAAGAUUUUGCUUUGCUUUUUUUUUUAGCCCCGUGAUAUUAUUGAUGACUUUAAGGUUUGGUUAAAUUACCUGGAGCACAGGUUUAGUUUAGCAGGAAGUUUUUUUUGCUCAUGGAAACAGAUAAAUGACUAUAUAUUAUGUCAGUAGUAUAAAAUAAGCAGACACAAAAAAGACAACAACACACCACACACUGUUAAAAUUUACUGACUCCGUCUCCAAAACCGUUGCUGCAAUAAUCCAAAGGGUCCCUCCAAGCUGGGAAGGUGGCGUACAAUAACAUCCAGAGGAAACUUUACAUCGCCGUGCACGAGUUCGGGCUAAACUUCUUCUUUCCACGCCUCCUGCAGCCCGCGAAACAAAACCACCGGUUCAGAUGAAACACGAAUGGAUCAAUAUCUGGAAGACUUUUAAAACUUAAAGGCUUAAAACUUUCCUUUGUGACAAAGCUUCUAGUUAGAGUGGCUCAUUU